rnacentral:rRNA from 1 species
GUUGAACGCUGGCGGCAGGCCUAACACAUGCAAGUCGAGCGGAGCGGCGGACGGGUGAGUAAUGCCUAGUAAUCUGCCUGGUGGUGGGGGAUAACGUCCGGAAACGGGCGCUAAUACAGCAUACUAGCAGAUGAGACUAGGGCGGAUUAGCUAGUUGGUGGGGUAAAGGCCUACCUAGGCGACGAUCGGAAACUGGUCUGAGAGGAUGAUCAGUCAAACUGGAACUGAGACACGGCCCAGACUCCUACGGGAGGCAGCAGGUGGGAAUCUUCCGCAAAGGACGAAAGGCUGACGCUGCAACGCCGCGGUAAUGAUGACGGCCUUCGGGUUGGAAAGCUCUGUUAAUCGGGACGCGGUACCUGAAUAGAAAGCCACGGCGAACUACGUGCCAGCCGCCGCGGUAAUAC